rnacentral:rRNA from 1 species
GACGAACGCUGGCGGCGUGCUUAACACAUGCAAGUCGAACGCUGAAGCUCAGCUUUUGUUGGGUGGAUGAGUGGCGAACGGGUGAGUAACACGUGAGUAACCUGCCCCCUUCUUUGGGAUAACGCCCGGAAACGGGUGCUAAUACUGGAUAUUCACUGGUCUUCGCAUGGGGGCUGGUGGAAAGGGUUUUUCUGGUGGGGGAUGGGCUCGCGGCCUAUCAGCUUGUUGGUGGGGUGAUGGCCUACCAAGGCUUUGACGGGUAGCCGGCCUGAGAGGGUGACCGGUCACAUUGGGACUGAGAUACGGCCCAGACUCCUACGGGAGGCAGCAGUGGGGAAUAUUGCACAAUGGGCGCAAGCCUGAUGCAGCGACGCCGCGUGAGGGAUGGAGGCCGUCGGGUUGUGAACCUCUUUCGCUCAUGGUCAAGCCGCAACAAUGGUUGUGGUGAGGGUAGUGGGUAAAGAAGCGCCGGCUAACUACGUG